rnacentral:rRNA from 1 species
CCCUUAGAUGUCCUGGGCCGCACGCGCGCUACACUGAGUGUCUGAGAUACGAGUCUGCCUGGUCCGGCAAGGUCUAAGUAAUCGCUAAAAGACACAUCAUGCUUGGGAUAGAUUAUUGCAAAUAUUAAUCUUGAACGAGGAAUUCCUAGUAAGCGCAAGUCAACAGCUUGCGUUGAUUACGUCCCUGCCCUUUGUACACACCGCCCGUCGCUACUACUGAUUGGAUGUUUAAGCGAGGUUCUCGAACUGCUAGCGACUUAGCUUCGGUGAGGUCGCAGUGUGGGAAGUGAACCUAGCUUUGGUGUCUAGAGGAAGUAAAAGUCGUAACA